ACUGAACGCUGGCGGCAGGCUUAACACAUGCAAGUCGAGCGGAGAUGAGGUGCUUGCACCUUAUCUUAGCGGCGGACGGGUGAGUAAUGCUUAGGAAUCUGCCUAUUAGUGGGGGACAACAUUCCGAAAGGAAUGGUAAUACCGCAUACGUCCUACGGGAGAAAGCAGGGGAUCUUCGGACCUUGCGCUAAUAGAUGAGCCUAAGUCGGAUUAGCUAGUUGGUGGGGUAAAGGCCUACCAAGGCGACGAUCUGUAGCGGGUCUGAGAGGACGAUCCGCCGCGCUGGGACUGAGACACGGCCCAGACGCCUACGGGGAGCAGCAGUGGUGAAUAUUGGACAAUGGGGGGAACCCUGAUCCAGCCAUGCCGCGUGUGUGAAGAAGGCCUUAUGGUUGUAAAGCACUUUAAGCGAGGAGGAGGCUACUGAGACUAAUACUCUUGGAUAGUGGACGUUACUCGCAGAAUAAGCACCGGCUAACUCUGUGCCAGCCGCCGCAGUAAUAC
rnacentral:rRNA from 1 species